rnacentral:rRNA from 1 species
CGAACGGGUGAGUAACGCGUGGGUAACCUGCCUUAUAGCGGGGGAUAACUAUUGGAAACGAUAGCUAAUACCGCAUAACAAUAGAGAUUGCAUAAUCUUUAUUUGAAAGUGCCAACUGGUACACUAUGAGAUGGACCCGCGUUGUAUUAGCUAGUUGGUAGUGUAAUGGACUACCAAGGCGAUGAUACAUAGCCGACCUGAGAGGGUGAUCGGCCACAUUGGGACUGAGACACGGCCCAAACUCCUACGGGAGGCAGCAGUAGGGAAUCUUCGGCAAUGGACGAAAGUCUGACCGAGCAACGCCGCGUGAGUGAAGAAGGUUUUCGGAUCGUAAAACUCUGUUGUUAGAGAAGAAUGUUGAUUAGAGUGGAAAAUUAAUCAAGUGACGGUAUCUAACCAGAAAGGGACGGCUAACUACGUGCCAGCAGCCGCGGUAAUACGUAGGUCCCGAGCGCUGUCCGGAUUUAUUGGGCGUAAAGCGAGCGCAGGUGGUUUAAUAAGUCUGAUGUAAAAGGCAGUGGCUCAACCAUUGUGUGCAUUGGAAACUGUUAGACUUGAGUGCAGUAGAGGAGAGUGGAAUUCCAUGUGUAGCGGUGAAAUGCGUAGAUAUAUGGAGGAACACCGGUGGCGAAAGCGGCUCUCUGGACUGUCACUGACACUGAGGCUCGAAAGCGUGGGUAGCAAACAGGAUUAGAUACCCUGGUAGUCCACGCCGUAAACGAUGAGUGCUAGUUGUUUGGGGCUAUCCAGCCCUAAGUGACGCAGCAAACGCAUUAAGCACUCCGCCUGGGGAGUACGACCGCAAGGUUGAAACUCAAAGGAAUUGACGGGGGCCCGCACAAGCGGUGGAGCAUGUGGUUUAAUUCGAAGCAACGCGAAGAACCUUACCAGGUCUUGACAUACUCGUGCUA